GUCUUGUGGAUGAUUUUAGAGAAAUUUGUCAAAGAUUUCAAAGAUAUCAAAGGCGAAGUUGCUAAGUAUCAGUUUCAGCAAUGUGGGUGUCCAGAGGAGACAAAUAAUACUCAGGUCUGCCUGAACUAAAGGAAAGGAUGCAGAGUGAAUUCAAGCAAUACUAAAGACAAGAAAAUCUGCAGAGAAGUCGUCUUUAUAGAUGCCUCAGUGUGACAAAAUCUUCACAGUUUGCAAUCAACCACAAAACAAAUCUGCAGGAGGUUGGACUUCAGUCAAAGAACUACUUUUGUAAAGCCCUUGCACACUGCAGGGACCGUGUCCAACUGAAAUAUGUGAAAAAAUGAACCAUUGUGAACUGCUCCUGUCAUUACACAGGUCCAGCAUGAAAAGUAAAGAAGGAAAAGGGAAAGGGAGGCAGAAAGAGUCUUUGCCUCUGUCUGCCAGAUACUUCUGAAAUGAGGGGGAGGGGGAAUAAAAAAUCCAGAAUAAAAGGAGAGAAAAGAAGAAAGGAAAACAAAGAAGGAAAAUUUUGAGGACACAGCGAUGGAAGGAGGUGAACCAAUCAUUCCCCACUUCAUAUUCUCCAUCUGAGCCCAUGAAUAUGCAAGUGAAUAUCAGAGCAAACAUUAUCACUGACACAGAUUCCCUUCCACAGCAUAUUUGUGUUGCCAUGCAUAUGAAUAAUUGCAUUAGUAAGGCAGAAGGUCUGGUUCCCAUAUUUUACAUGCAUCUAUAUUUUUUAUGUGGCCAUGCUUUGCACCCUAAUUAUAUGGUGCUGGAAACAGCCAUUUGUCUUGUUUCUUCCCAGUAUGAACAAGAUCUUUUUUCCAGCUGAUCCAGUACAUAAAAGAAAUUGGAGCAAGAAUAAAAAGUGUCAGCUCAAGCUACAUCUGAACAAGACAGAGGCAAAAGGAAAGCAUUUUAGUGAAGUGACGAAGGUCGGAUCAUCUGCCAUCUGGUAGGAACUCAUUGUAUUAGCAGACCAUGUUUAAUUCUACAUCUGCAUAGCAGCGAUAACUGUCUUUUAUGUUCUGCCUCUUUCUUUUCGAUGUAAGCUUCAUUACUAAAAUAGAUGGAUACAUAGAUGAGAUGACAUGACUACAUCCUCUAGCACCCUGUUUCCCAGCUGCGGGGGAACAUGACGCAAGCACAUAGUGGUAGCACUCCCUGUGACUCUCGUGUUUGGCACCAGUCACAGUGUCAGGGCUGCUUCCAGCCUUCAGGUCUCCUGGGACCAAUGUAUUGCAUCAGCAUCCAGAUCCUCCACUAGUAUCUACUAUCCUCCACUAGUAUCCAGACAAUUGUGAUCAGGCCUCUGCCAGCUGAUCUAUUAAAGCAGAACACUCCUGAGAAUCUGGCAGAGCAUGUGUCCUGAGCUACUCAAUUUUGGAAGUCUCACCAAUCCCACUCUGAGGUCAGGAUAAGCCCUUGAUAAUUUUCAACUCAGAGCAAACCCAUUUUUGCAGAUACUAGAUGAAUUCACUACUGAGCAGAAGGCUAGCACUGUAGUACUUAAAUAUCAUUUGAGCCUUAUCUGAAGAUUUUAAUUGGACUUAUUAGGUAUAUGAUCUUGGCCUAGUCUUGGCACAAGGAUUAUUUUCACCCGAAAUGAACUACUGAGGAGCUGACAACAUCCUUUGGAAGAAAACCAGCAAGAAGUCAUUACUCUUGGGAUAGCUGUGAACUCCAGGAGAGUUAGAGAAGUAUUUCCUUCUUAGGCAGAAAGCAGCAUCAUAUAAAGCAAUUAACCCAAGUGCUGGGCCUAUAUGCAAUGCUAAGAUAGCUAGAGUAACUGAAAAAUAUUUACUUACAUUCAAUAUGCAAUAUCUUCGUAGUUUGGAUCAUGUUACUGUCUGCUCCUUGAUAUGGUUUCAAUUAUUUUCACAAACCAUUAAAGUCAAGCUGAUGAAAUUGAACCAUCCUGUGGAACACAUCUAUUUAUGGAAUGGAUGUGCCCUGUACCAAUAAGAAUCAUAGAAUCAUUUAGGUUGGAAAAGACCUUUAAGAUCCUCAAGUCCAACUGUUAACUCAGCACUGUCAAGUCCACCACUAAACCAUGUCCCUAAGUGCCACAUCUACACAUCUUUUAAGUAUCUCCAGGGAUGGUGACUCAACCACUUCCCUGGGCAGCCUGUUUUUGUGAAAUGUCUUUCCUAAUAUCCAAUCUAAACUUCCCCUGGUGCAACUUGAGGCUAUUUUCUCUUGUCCUAUUGCUUGCUACCGGGGAGAAGAGAUGAACACCUGCCUCGCUACAACCUCCUUUCAGGUAGUUGUAGAGGAUAGUAAGGUCUCCCAGACUGUUUUCUCUCUGUUAUAUUGUAUUUCCAGAAGAUAUCUGGUAAGAUGAAUUCCCCGAUGAGGACCAGGUCUAGUGAUGGUGAAACUUCUCUCAGAUGCUUAUAGAAUAUUUCAUCUGCGUCUGCAUCCUGGCUGGAUGGUCUAUAACAGACUGCCACCACGACACCUGCCUUCUCAGCCUUCCCCAUUAACACUCAACCCUAACCACCACCAUUAAGUUCUAUACAAUCAAAGCACUCCCUCACACAGGGCUGUCCCACCACCUCUCCUUCCUUGCCUAUCCCUUCAGAAGACUUUAUAGCCAUCCAUUGCAGCACUCCAGUUGUGAGUCAUUCCACCAUGCUUCCUUGAUAGCAACUAUGUCAUAGUUUUCCUGCUGUGCGAUGGCUUCCAGCUCCACCUGUUUGUUACCCAGGUUGCAUGCAUUGGUGUAGAUGCAUGCUUCAGUUGGGCUAUUGAUCCUGUCACCUUCUGGAGGGAAGUCCUAAUUCCUACAUGACCAUUCUCAGGAUCUUCUGUGGUUUUUAACACAUCAAUAACCCUUGUUCCUUUGCUGCUAGGGAUCUUUUAAAGGAAAAUACAUUAUCUGAGUGCUUUUCAACUGUGUUCUCUAGUCCUGUGCACUUGUCAUCAUCUAAAGCCAUACCAGCCUCUGGGUAGCACUUUUUUAGCAGUUCAGAAGAUUUAUGUGUCUGUUGCUGUGCUGAAUUCCAUUCUUUGAGUAAGCACAGAGUACUGAAACUCUCUUUUGAGGAGUGAGGGAGGAGGAGGAAAGAUUAAAGCAGCUCAUGUGCUUCUUACAUAAAACUUGAGAAGCUAAUGAAAAGCAAUUUGAUUAAAAUAUGAUUAAAAAGAUGUUCUGUGGCAUGCCUGAAGCUGAUGUUUUUAGAUGACAUAGGUGCAUGGGGGAGAAGGAGGGAGUUUGGUUGUUGAUAUUUCUUUCUUUUUUUUAAGUAUAGUAACACCUAAUAUUACAAGCUGCCCUGCAGGAAAGCCUCGUGGGACUAGUAGAGCACUACUACAGUGAAGGAGUGUCUUUGCAGCAGAUGGUGAAGAGGGCACCCCUGAAUUUGCAUCCUUGGUUGAGAAUAUUUUUAUGCAAUUAGAAACCUGGCUCUGCCUUACAUUAGGGCUGCUCUUCAUCACCCCAGGAAUAUAAAAUGGAUUUGAAGUGAGUGUAAGUGUAACUUACAACAGCUAUAAAGCAACUUUGCAUCUUAUAGCAGUUUAAAACCUUGGGGUAAGUGAGAAUCUGGAUUCCCAAUGUAUAAAUUAUGGCCACUCUGACUGAAAAUGAAUUGAAGAGUUUUAUAUUUUGUAAUGCUAUCACUAAGCCAACUUCACUAAGUUAGUUACAUUUAUUUCAAUAUAGCAGUUCUAUUCAUUAGAGCUCCUUAAACAGUAUGGCAAUCUCCAGGUUUCACUGGUUUGCUUUGUAAAUAUUUGGGAAUUUUACAGAUACACAUUCAGAGAUCAGAUUGUUCUCUCCUUUUUUUUCAUUCCGUCUUCCCUAGGAAGACAUAGCACAGGAGGUCAGUACAGAAAACACAUUCUAGUCCAUUGUUCCUUUUCAUGUUCAUUAUGCUUCUUUAAAUAAUACAUCACAAGACACUUUAUGAGAGUUUUUCUCAAUGAAAUUGAAGGUUUUGGUAUUUGUUCCUUGGAUAUUAACUUACUGUGAUUAAUUAUCUCGCCUCUAACACCAGUUAUGGUCUGUUUGUUAUCACUGAGCCCUCAGUUGGCAUUGACGGUACUUGAAUAAAUCAUUUACUCCAGGAUGAGUUCCAUGCAUCUUACUUUUAAAAUAGCAGGGAUUUAAUCUAUACUAUUUUCGGGACAAAAAGGGAGAAAAAUAAGUAGUAAAUCAUGAAAUCUUUAUGAAAACAAAUAAGGUUCCACUCUUGCAAAAGAUUAUACACAUUCCUUUUUGAUUUUGUGUCUCUGACAAUGGCAUUACUCCUGUAAAAAAGGAGGCAGAAAAGCAGCCUGGGUACUGAACAUACUGAGCAUCACGUCUUACUUUGGGAUCUCAUCAGCUGCUUCUGCCACUAGUAGUUUUUAAUACCAUGCCAGAAUUAAAUUAGCUAUUAGUUACUUAUAAUGCAAAAUGAAUAUAUAUCUUGCUAUUUUGCUGUUCCCAUUUCCUUCCAGUAUUGUUCCUUUCUCUCUCAACAGGAAUUGGUCAUGAUGUUUGCUACUGCAACAGCAUCUCA